UACGUAGGCAGCAAGCGUUGUCCGGAAUCACUGGGCGUAAAGGGUGCGUAGGCGGCGGGGCAAGUCUGAUGUGAAAUCCCGGGGCUCAACCCCGGAACUGCAUUGGAUACUGCCUUGCUAGAGUACUGGAGAGGAGACUGGAAUUUACGGUGUAGCAGUGAAAUGCGUAGAUAUCGUAAGGAAGGCCAGUGGCGAAGGCGAGUCUCUGGACAGUUACUGACGCUGAGGCACGAAGGCCAGGGGAGCAAACGGG
rnacentral:rRNA from 1 species